rnacentral:rRNA from 1 species
CAAGUCGAGGGGUACAUAAGUGCUUGCACUUGAUGACGACCGGCGCACGGGUGCGUAACGCGUAUAGAAUCUACCUUAUACUAGGGGAUAGCCUUUGGAAACGAAGAUUAAUACCCUAUAGUAAGUACUUAUGGCAUCAUUUAUACUUUAAAGGUUACGGUAUAAGAUGACUAUGCGUCCUAUUAGUUUGUUGGUGAGGUAACGGCUCACCAAGACUUCGAUAGGUAGGGGCCCUGAGAGGGGGAUCCCCCACACUGGUACUGAGACACGGACCAGACUCCUACGGGAGGCAGCAGUGAGGAAUAUUGGACAAUGGAGGAAACUCUGAUCCAGCCAUGCCGCGUGCAGGAUGACGGCCCUAUGGGUUGUAAACUGCUUUUAUGUAGGAAGAAACACUCUCACGUGUGAGAGCUUGACGGUACUACAAGAAUAAGGACCGGCUAACUCCGUGCCAGCAGCCGCGGUAAUACGGAGGGUCCAAGCGUUAUCCGGAAUCAUUGGGUUUAAAGGGUCCGUAGGCGGGCUAUUAAGUCAGAGGUGAAAGUUUGCAGCUCAACUGUAAAAUUGCCUUUGAAACUGGUAGUCUUGAAUUAUUAUGAAGUGGUUAGAAUAAGUAGUGUAGCGGUGAAAUGCAUAGAUAUUACUUAGAAUACCAAUUGCGAAGGCAGAUCACUAAUAAUAUAUUGACGCUGAGGGACGAAAGCGUGGGGAGCGAACAGG